rnacentral:rRNA from 1 species
UACAGAGGGUGCAAGCGUUAUUCGGAAUUACUGGGCGUAAAGCGUGCGUAGACGGUUAUGUAAGUCGGGUGUGAAAGCCCCGGGCUCAACCUGGGAAUGCCAUUCGAGACUGCAUAGCUAGGGUGCGGAAGAGGGAAGCGGAAUUUCCGGUGUAGCGGUGAAAUGCGUAGAUAUCGGAAGGAACACCAGUGGCGAAAGCGGCUUCCUGGUCCAGCACCGACGUUCAGGCACGAAAGCGUGGGGAGCAAACAGG